rnacentral:lncRNA from 10 species
CCAAGCCACUGAAGGGAUCCACCUGGACUAGGAGUGACUGGGCUGGCCACAGAGCUCUGCCCUACCCGCUCACCGCUGGACAUGAAACAGCAAGUGCCUAUCCUGGAGGGCUCCGCCUGGGGAGUGCCAGGCAAGGAGAAUGAGGCCUGGAGAGCUUAAGAGACUGGCCCACGGAGGAAGCAGGAGUCAUCUUUCCACAAAACUACACUUCCCCAAAAGCUGAACUCUUGGACAAGGAGCCCACUGCCAAACCUAAGAGUAACAAAUUUCAGCAAAUAAAAGGAAGUGCC